rnacentral:lncRNA from 1 species
GCGCAGGCGCAGACGGCCUUCCGACACGUGGUCGCCGUCCUGGGCUGUUGCUCGGCUCUGGCGGUUAGGCUUUUUCCUGCUUGUGGUUGACUGGCAGCGUGGGCGAGCUCCGCGCCUGCUACCCUGGCGUUACUUCCCGACUCCGCCUGUCGUAUCUAUGGCUAGCAUGACAGAUGAGAAAACAGAAGCUCCAAGAGGCCCAGAUCACAUAGCUAGAAAGUAGCAGAGUCAAGAGAUGCGGAAACUGAGGCCAAGACAGAGAUUGAUCCAAGGUCACAGAGGCAGCAAAUGCUGAACUUGUCCUCUCUGACUCCAAAACCAGGAAGUCCGCCUUUCGCCUUGGUCGUGGUGGUGGGCAGUGGGUGAGGGUGGGGUGAGGGCAGGGGAGGAAGUGAUUCACUUGGCUGUAUCCAGAUUCAUCCCAGACUUUUUUUUUCUUGUACCCACUGGCAGAACUUCCUCCUUUUCUCUCUCUGCCUCGUUUUCUGAUUCACUCCCCAUCUGUUAUGGUUUCUGAGAAUGUGGGUGCAGAGGGUGGGGUAAGCUGUGGGGAGUGGGAGGGAGAAUGCAGCCAGUCCUUAAUAAACAAAUAUUUUUUAUGCUCUCUAUGUACCAGGCAACGUUCUAGGGGCUGGGAGUCCUGCCGUGAAUAAAACAGACCUUGUCCC